ACCUGGCUGGCUCAGUCAGGGGAGCAUGAGACUCUUGAUCUUGGGGUCAUGAGUUCAAGCCCCACGUUGGGUG
rnacentral:tRNA from 1 species